UCGGGAAUUUUGGGCAAUGGGCGCAAGCCUGAUCCAGCCAUGCCGCGUGGAUGAUGAAGGCCUUAGGGUUGUAAAAUCCUUUCGUUGGGGACGAUAAUGACGGUACCCAAAGAAGAAGCUCCGGCUAACUUCGUGCCAGCAGCCGCGGUAAUACGAAGGGGGCUAGCGUUGUUCGGAUUUACUGGGCGUAAAGCGCGUGUAGGCGGACUUGUAAGUUGGGGGUGAAAUCCCGAGGCUCAACCUCGGAACUGCCUCCAAAACUACAAAUCUGGACCUAAGUAGAGGCAAGUGGAAUUGCGAGUGUAGAGGUGAAAUUCGUAGAUAUUCGCAGGAACACCAGUGGCGAAGGCGACUUGCUGGACUUAUGGUGACGCUGAGACGCGAAAGCGUGGGGAGCAAACAGGAUUAGAUACCCAAGUAGUCCCUGAGCGGGCUGGCAAGGCGCAU
rnacentral:rRNA from 1 species